rnacentral:rRNA from 1 species
CGGCGGACGGGUGAGUAAUGCCUAGGAAUCUGCCUGGUAGUGGGGGACAACGUUUCGAAAGGAACGCUAAUACCGCAUACGUCCUACGGGAGAAAGCAGGGGACCUUCGGGCCUUGCGCUAUCAGAUGAGCCUAGGUCGGAUUAGCUAGUUGGUGAGGUAAUGGCUCACCAAGGCGACAUCCGUAACUGGUCUGAGAGGAUGAUCAGUCACACUGGAACUGAGACACGGUCCAGACUCCUACGGGAGGCAGCAGUU